AUACGGAGGGUACGAACGUUAAUCGGAAUUACUGGGCGUAAAGCGCGCGUAGGUGGUUCGGUAAGUGGGAUGUGAAAGCCCCGGGCUCAACCCGGGAACUGCAUUCCAAACUGCCGGGCUAGAGUAUGCUAGAGGGAGGUAGAAUUUCCUGUGUAGCGGUGAAAUGCGUAGAUAUAGGAAGGAAUACCGGUGGCGAAGGCGGCCUCCUGGACCAAUACUGACACUGAGGUGCGAAAGCGUGGGGAGCAAACAGCAUUAGAAACCCCAGUAGUCC
rnacentral:rRNA from 1 species